rnacentral:piRNA from 1 species
GACAUAGACUGCGGCAUUGUGAAGGU